AUUGAACGCUGGCGGCAUGCCUUACACAAGCAAGUCGAACGGCAGCAUAGGAGCUUGCUCCUGAUGGCGAGUGGCGAACGGGUGAGUAAUAUAUCGGAACGUGCCCUAGAGUGGGGGAUAACUAGUCGAAAGAUUAGCUAAUACCGCAUACGAUCUACGGAUGAAAGUGGGGGAUCGCAAGACCUCAUGCUCCUGGAGCGGCCGAUAUCUGAUUAGCUAGUUGGUGGGGUAAAAGCCUACCAAGGCGACGAUCAGUAGCUGGUCUGAGAGGACGACCAGCCACACUGGGACUGAGACACGGCCCAGACUCCUACGGGAGGCAGCAGUGGGGAAUUUUGGACAAUGGGGGCAACCCUGAUCCAGCAAUGCCGCGUGAGUGAAGAAGGCCUUCGGGUUGUAUAGCUCUUUUGUCAGGGAAGAAACGGUUCUGGAUAAUACCCAGAGCUAAUGACGGUACCUGAAGAAUAAGCACCGGCUAACUACGUGCCAGCAGCCGCAGUAA
rnacentral:rRNA from 1 species